GGCUACACACGUGCUACAAUGGGUAGAACAGAGAGUUGCAAAGCCGUGAGGUGGAGCUAAUCUCAGAAAACUAUUCUUAGUUCGGAUUGUACUCUGCAACUCGAGUACAUGAAGUUGGAAUCGCUAGUAAUCGCGAAUCAGCAAUGUCGCGGUGAAUACGUUCUCGGGUCUUGUACACACCGCCCGUCACACCACGAGAGUUGGUUGCACCUGAAGUAGCAGGCCUAACCGUAAGGAGGGAUGUUCCGAGGGUGUGAUUAGCGAUUGGGGUGAAGUCGUAACAAGGUAUCCGUACGGGAACGU
rnacentral:rRNA from 1 species